CUGGUUAGUGCCCUGAUCCAUAGUGUGUUUCACUGAGUAUCGAGUUUCAAUGGGUAUCCAUCCUCUUGUGUAUUGCUCCCAAUGAACAACAGUUAUAGCAUGCUUUGAACUAUCAUCUUAGAGAGAUAUUUUCCAACAUCUAAGGUGUAUGGUGAUGGGAUGAUGGAAGCUUUUGCUGAAGGAGUUCUCCUGGACCUCCUGGUGCUCCAAACCGUUCUACUAUGACCUCUGUCUUCUUAUAUUGCUCCUCUGGCACCAAAUGUUUCAUGCACUGAAGAUCCAGGAAACAUCAGUCAUCACUGCACACAGGGGUGGAACUGUUAAUUAAUCGAGCAGGAAUGCAACAUUGUAUUGGACAGUGAGUCCUAUUUAAGGAGGAAGAAAGGAGGAGGCAGAAAGCAGCAUGGUGUUGCAGAGUCAGUCACUAUCCCCCAUGGAGCCCCAAGUGCUUCUCGGAGCACAGUUUGAGAACCCCUGGUCUAGAUCUCCAAUUUUCACCCCAUUUUACUUCUAGUAGGAUCUAUUUGUUCAUGUCAUCCUUUUAAUAAAAAAAUCCACAGGUGAAUAUUUGAAAUGUGAAUUGUAGCUAAGCUAAAAUUACUGGUUUAGACAGUAAAGUAGAAUCUCAUUGAUGUUGCUUUUAGUUCCGAAUG